rnacentral:rRNA from 1 species
CCCUUAGAUGUUCUGGGCCGCACGCGCGCUACACUGAUGCAUUCAACAAGCCUAGCCUUGACCGAGAGGUCCGGGUAAUCUUUGAAACUGCAUCGUGAUGGAGCUAGAUUAUUGCAAUUAUUAAUCUUCAACGAGGAAUGCCUAGUAAGCGUGAUUCAUCAAAUCGCGUUGAUUACGUCCCUGCCCUUUGUACACACCGCCCGUCGCUCCUACCGAUUGAAUGUGUUGGUGAGGAGCUCGGAUUGGCAGCAGUUGGUGGUUCGCCACCGGCUAUUGCUGAGAAGUCCUCCAAACCGCCCCAUUUAGAGGAAGGAGAAGUCGUAACA